rnacentral:rRNA from 1 species
GUAGGUGGCAAGCGUUGUCCGGAAUUAUUGGGCGUAAAGCGCGCGCAGGCGGGUUCUUUAAGUCUGAUGUGAAAGCCCACGGGCUCAACCGUGGAGGGUCAUUGGAAACUGGAGAACUUGAGUACAGAAGAGGAAAGCGGAAUUCCACGUGUAGCGGUGAAAAGCGUAGAGAUGUGGAGGAACACCAGUGGCGAAGGCGGCUUUCUGGUCUGUAACUGACGCUGAGGCGCGAAAGCGUGGGGAGCAAACAGGAUUAGAUACCCUGGUAGUCCACGCCGUAAACGAUGAGUGCUAAGUGUUAGGGGGUUUCCGCCCCUUAGUGCUGCAGCUAACGCAUUAAGCACUCCGCCUGGGGAGUACGGCCGCAAGGCUG